UACGAAGGGGGCUAGCGUUGCUCGGAAUGACUGGGCGUAAAGGGCGCGUAGGCGGAUGGCACAGUCAGAUGUGAAAUUCCCGGGCUUAACCUGGGGGCUGCAUUUGAUACGUGUUGUCUUGAGUUCGGAAGAGGGUCGUGGAAUUCCCAGUGUAGAGGUGAAAUUCGUAGAUAUUGGGAAGAACACCGGUGGCGAAGGCGGCGACCUGGUCCGACACUGACGCUGAGGCGCGAAAGCUUGGGGAGCAAACAGG
rnacentral:rRNA from 1 species